rnacentral:rRNA from 1 species
GAUGAACGCUGGCGGCGUGCCUAAUACAUGCAAGUCGAGCGAACGGACGAGAAGCUUGCUUCUCUGAUGUUAGCGGCGGACGGGUGAGUAACACGUGGAUAACCUACCUAUAAGACUGGGAUAACUUCGGGAAACCGGAGCUAAUACCGGAUAAUAUUUUGAACCGCAUGGUUCAAAAGUGAAAGACGGUCUUGCUGUCACUUAUAGAUGGAUCCGCGCUGCAUUAGCUAGUUGGUAAGGUAACGGCUUACCAAGGCAACGAUGCAUAGCCGACCUGAGAGGGUGAUCGGACACACUGGAACUGAGACAAGGUCAAGAAUACUACGGGAGGCAGCAGAAGGGAAUCUUCCGCAAUGGGCGAAAGCAUGACGGAGCAACGCCGCGUGAGUGAUGAAGGUCUUCGGAUCGUAAAACUCUGUUAUUAGGGAAGAAAAUAUGUGUAAGUAACUGUGCACAUCUUGACGGUAACUAAUCAGAAAGCCACGGCUAACUACGUG